UAAGUGAUAGACCAAUAUCGUAAAAUUACGUUUCUAUCAAAUCGUUCCGCAAAGUAGCGUGAUAUCACCGGCCUUCUAGAUGAAUUAAUUCCUGCAUCUUUGAAUAAUAAUAAAAUCGACCGGUGGAUAAACUUGCUCUCCAUAGCCAACUAAUACAACUUCAACUUUGGCAGGCAUGAAGUGAAGACGCUGUUGUUUAGUUAAAGCGGAGGCACGUCCUCACAGUGUUGGAUAUUCGUAGCCAAGCAACUAAAGCCGGUCGUACAAUGUAACUCGUGCGGCAUAGAGAGAUAAUCAUUUAUAAGGCAUCAUAAUUUAUUCACGUAUUAGUGCAAUCCUCUCGGGACCCUCUACCAGCGUUAUUUAGUUUAGAUAAGCAGCCCUUCAUGUGUGCAUCGUUUUUUAACUGGAUCUCUGAUUUUCUCGGUAAACGCGCCAACAUGUCUAUUGCAACUUAUGAGGAGGUUUUGGACCUGCCAAAUCACCCGGAGAAAUUGCUGAUCGACGUUCGAGGUGCCGACGAGCUUGCAGAAACCGGCCAAAUACCAACCAGUGUCAACAUUCCACUUGAUCAUGUGAAGAAAACCUUUUCAUCGGAAACUAAUUCGGAAGCAUUUGUGCGACUCCACGGUUUCGCCAAACCGUCGCUUGAUCACUACAUAAUUGUAUCUUGUAGAACUGGAAGGCGCAGCCAAAUGGCUGUGGACAUACUCCAGGAACUUUGCUAUACCAAUGCCCACUGUCGAACAAGCGCUGCAACUUUCGGAAGAUGAAUUCAAAGCCAAGUACGGUCGGACCAAGCCGCAACCCGACACGGAAGUGAUUUUUCACUGCAAAAUGGGAGGACGGGCCCAGAAGGCGGCGGAUAUAGCCACCGGUUUGGGUUUUAAAAAUGCCCGAAAUUACAAAGGAUCCUGGACCGAAUGGGCUGCCAAGCAGGGCAAGUAGGAGUAGAUCCGAAUGCGAAAUUUCGAUGGGCUAUGUUGUGUUUCUGCUUCUUAAAUUUAACAUGAAUAAAAUGGAAAAAGUUUAAA